AUGCCCCUUACACCCUGGGCUACACACGUACUACAAUGCUACGGACAAAGGGCAGCAAACUCGCGAGAGCUAGCAAAUCCCAUAAACCGUGGCUCAGUUCAGAUCGUAGGCUGCAACUCGCNUACGUGAAGUAGGAAUCGCUAGUAAUCGCAGGUCAGCAUACUGCGGUGAAUACGUUCCCGGGCCUUGUACACACCGCCCGUCACACCAUGGAAGUUGGCCAUGCCCGAAGUCGUUACUCCAACCCUUGUGGAGGAGGACGCCGAAGGUGGGGCUAAUGACUGGGGUGAAGUCGUAACAAGGUAGCCGUACCGGAAGGUGCGGCUGGAUCACCUCCUAACAGGGAGACAACAAAAUGUUAAAUAUUAAUUUUGUCACCUUAGGUCGAUCGGUACCUCACAUUCUUAAUUUUAUUGAGAAUUUUAUUUCCUAAGUUUUUCUAGGUCACACCCAUUACUUUUCCUGGGCCAUUAGCUCAGGUGGUUAGAGCGCACCCCUGAUAAGGGUGAGGUCCCUGGUUCAAGUCCAGGAUGGCCCAUAUCUCUAUGUUGGGGGUAUAGCUCAGUUGGUAGAGCGCCUGCUUUGCAAGCAGGAUGUCAGCGGUUCGAGUCCGCUUACCUCCACUGAUUACCACCUCUUCCAUAUUUAUAGAAGGGAAUUGUUUUAUGUUGUGAUCAAAUUCUGAACGAAUCUAGCUUCCUAAUCAAACUUAUUAAGAUGCUGGACUCAUUGAAUUAAUUUCAUUGUUUUCAGAGAACCUUGACAACUGCAUAGAUUAUUUUUAAAGACAAUAAGCAUCUUUAAUGAUGCAGAUUUUUUAUUUGUGCGAAUGCAUUAAUAACAAUUCUAUUAAGCUGAUGCUUCAAUUUUGAAGUUAUUGGUCAAGCUACAAAGGGCUCACGGAGGAUACCUAGGCACACAGAGGCGAUGAAGGACGUGGUUACCUGCGAUAAGUCUCGGGGAGUGGAA
rnacentral:sRNA from 1 species